UAACAUGAGGGAGGGCUGCAUGGAGACUCUGGAUUUACAGCCCUGCGAAGGGAUGAGCCAGUAUGUUGCUUCUUGGGAACAGCAGGAGGUGACUGCCAAAGUGAAAGUCAUAAGACCUCAGCUCAGGCGCUCAUAAUGCAAAAAAUGCACUAAGGUCAAGGAAAUCUCAAGCCAACAGAGGAAAGAUAAUCUACAGAUACCAACCUCAAGAUGACACUGAGGUUAGAAUUAUCUGACAAAGACUUCAACGAUGCCUUUAUAAAAAAAAAAACACUUCAAGAAGAAUCACACACUCAUGGGCCUGAGGCAGGAAGGUGGCUGCCUUGAUCGCUUUUCAUGGCUGUGAUGAAGCAGGGCUCAAGCAAGAAGAUCACAAAUUCAAGAUUGAUCUAUCUCAAAAACGAAAGAGAGAAAGUCAAGGCGGUUGUGAUGGUGGCUCACACCUUUGGUCCCAGAACUUGGGAGGCAGAGGCAGAGGGAUUGCUGAGUUCAAGGCCAGCCUGGUCUACAGAGUGAGUUCCAGGACAG
rnacentral:lncRNA from 1 species